AAAGAGAUCUGAUUAAUAAAAGGUUGUCAGUAGAAGAAUUUUUAUUGAUGUUUACUAAAACUAUUAAUAUCGAAGGAAUGGAACAAACAAUAUCAUUUGAAGUGAUGUUUUACAACCUGCAGAUAUAGAGUUGUUCACAGAAAUAUUACACGAGACAUACCAAAUAGAAAAGCAAACUAACAUUAGACGCAGAAGAUCUCGACACGUUAAUACAAAUUUAUCUAGUCGAAUAGAAGAAAGACAUAUAUCUAGAAGAGAUACAGAAGAUAUAGAAAAUGAUUUCGAUGUACAGAGAAUAACAGUAACGCCUGCAGUAAUAGAAAUGACACAAGAUGGAGAAAAUGAUUCCGAUGUACAGAGAAUAAUAGUAACGCCUGCAAUAAUAGAAAUGACACAAGAUGGAGAAAAUUCUUUCAAUACACAGGGAACACUUACAUCUGAAAUAAUAGGAAAUACACAAACAACGCAACAUGAACCUCAAUCAAUAGCUGUCAUUUUUAACUUGGAAACCGGAAUCUCUCAAACGACGCAACAUGAACCUCAAUCAAUAAAUAUUACUUCUAAUUUCGA